rnacentral:rRNA from 1 species
GACGAACGCUGGCGGCGUGCCUAAUACAUGCAAGUAGAACGCUGAAGGAGGAGCUUGCUUCUCUGGAUGAGUUGCGAACGGGUGAGUAACGCGUAGGUAACCUGCCUGGUAGCGGGGGAUAACUAUUGGAAACGAUAGCUAAUACCGCAUAAGAGUAGAUGUUGCAUGACAUUUGCUUAAAAGGUGCAAUUGCAUCACUACCAGAUGGACCUGCGUUGUAUUAGCUAGUUGGUGGGGUAACGGCUCACCAAGGCGACGAUACAUAGCCGACCUGAGAGGGUGAUCGGCCACACUGGGACUGAGACACGGCCCAGACUCCUACGGGAGGCAGCAGUAGGGAAUCUUCGGCAAUGGACGGAAGUCUGACCGAGUAACGCCGCGUGAGUGAAGAAGGUUUUCGGAUCGUAAAGCUCUGUUGUAAGAGAAGAACGAGUGUGAGAGUGGAAAGUUCACACUGUGACGGUAUCUUACCAGAAAGGGACGGCUAACUACGUG